CCUACGGGUGGCAGCAGUGAGGAAUAUUGGUCAAUGGACGAGAGUCUGAACCAGCCAAGUAGCGUGAAGGAUGACUGCCCUCUGGGUUGUAAACUUCUUUUAUAUGGGAAUAAAAUGUUCCACGUGUGGGAUUUUGUAUGUACCAUAUGAAUAAGGAUCGGCUAACUCCGGGCCAGCAGCCGCGGUAAUACGGAGGAUCCGAGCGUUAUCCGGAUUUAUUGGGUUGAAAGGGAGCGUAGGUGGAUUGUUAAGUCAGUUGUGAAAGUUUGCGGCUCAACCGUAAAAUUGCAGUUGAAACUGGCAGUCUUGAGUACAGUAGAGGUGGGCGGAAGUCGUGGUGUAGCGGUGAAAUGCUUAGAUAUCACGAAGAACUCCGAUUGCGAAGGCAGUUCACUGGACUGCAACUGACACUGAGGCUCGAAAGUGUGGGUAUCAAACAGGAUUAGAUACCCCAGUAGUC
rnacentral:rRNA from 1 species